rnacentral:rRNA from 1 species
UGGGGAAUAUUGGAGAAUGGGCGAAAGCCUGAUCCAGCCAUGCCGCGUGUGUGAAGAAGGUCUUCGGAUUGUAAAGCACUUUAAGUUGGGAGGAAGGGCAUUAACCUAAUACGUUAGUGUUUUGACGUUACCGACAGAAUAAGCACCGGCUAACUCUGUGCCAGCAGCCGCGGUAAUACAGAGGGUGCAAGCGUUAAUCGGAAUUACUGGGCGUAAAGCGCGCGUAGGUGGUCUGUUAAGUUGGAUGUGAAAUCCCCGGGCUCAACCUGGGAACUGCAUUCAAAACUGACUGACUAGAGUAUGGUAGAGGGUGGUGGAAUUUCCUGUGUAGCGGUGAAAUGCGUAGAUAUAGGAAGGAACACCAGUGGCGAAGGCGACCACCUGGACUAAUACUGACACUGAGGUGCGAAAGCGUGGGGAGCAAACA